GUUAUAAUUGGUUUAACAGGAGCGCGAAUGGCGAGUUAAUAUACUGUACACGUGACUUUAGUAGCGUCAGCCUACGGAACCUAAUGUGACGGUGUAAGGUUGGGGGUGAAUGGAGCUUUGUCACGGCGCUCCUCUCCAGUAAGCGGGGGAGAGGUCAUACUGACUCAGUCACACAGUCAUAUGAGUUCAUGCGCUCGAAAGACUAAAGGCGGGGUCGCCACCAUCACAAAGGUGUGGUUGCGGUCAACAUUGCUAACAUCAUUCGGGAGAUGGUAGGAACCAAAGUACCUGGAGGAAACCAACACGGUGAGAACAUACAAACUCCUUGCCUGGAAUAAAACUCCCCAGCACUGCAAGGCAGCCGUGCAACCCACUGAGCCACCAUGCUGCCCAAGUUGUAUGGUGACUGUUAUUAAUAAAAUGUGUAUACCUUA